CUUGAACUGGUUGGGGUAUAUAUAUGUUAAAUAGAUUGAUGUUUCCCAGCAUCUCAUAGUCCCGAUGACAUGGGCCGGGAUGUUAUCGCUAGAUGCAGAGAAUGCUGCCUGCCAUACGAAAAGAGUGGCUUGAGAAGUAGGUUGCGCUUAUGUAGUUAACAGCAUGAAUAUGACAGUGGUGAGUAAAGCACUGUGUAGCUCCAAUAAAGGAUGGUGUGAAUGUUUUGCGUUGAGCUAAG